UAGGGAAUCUUCGGCAAUGGACGGAAGUCUGACCGAGCAACGCCGCGUGAGUGAAGAAGGUUUUCGGAUCGUAAAGCUCUGUUGUUAGAGAAGAACGUUGGUAGGAGUGGAAAAUCUACCAAGUGACGGUAACUAACCAGAAAGGGACGGCUAACUACGUGCCAGCAGCCGCGGUAAUACGUAGGUCCCGAGCGUUGUCCGGAUUUAUUGGGCGUAAAGCGAGCGCAGGCGGUUAUUUAAGUCUGAAGUUAAAGGCAGUGGCUUAACCAUUGUACGCUUUGGAAACUGGAGGACUUGAGUGCAGAAGGGGAAAGUGGAAUUCCAUGUGUAGCGGUGAAAUGCGUAGAUAUAGGGAGGAACACCGGUGGCGAAAGCGGCUCUCUGGUCUGUAACUGACGCUGAGGCUCGAAAGCGUGGGGAGCAAACAGG
rnacentral:rRNA from 1 species